UGCAGCUUAGAGGGGUUCCUCGCUGUCUGCUGUGUGACUUUCAGAUUAUUCCUUUGAGCUGGUUUCCCCGAAGUGCAAUUUCGUGGCUAGAAAGGUUUUCUAGGCUGGUGUCAAAUUUGGUCAAAUGACCUUCGAGGGGGCCGGACGCUCACGCCAGCGGCGUCGGCGAGCGAGUCGAGCCGUGGGGCUCCGUGCAGAACGGGCGUUGUUGGAGGCAGACGACAGAGCCGGGCGAGCCCCCCGGCCCCCCUCCCGGGUCCUCACUCAGCUGCACCCACUCAGGCCCGUUCUGGAACCUGAGCAGCUCCGUGGUUACUGUUCAAGGUGGGUCUUUGGAAGGUCUGUGUCAGAGCUUGACAGCAGGCACCUGAGUGUUUGACAUUUGCUGCUGGACCAUGGGCUGCAGCGAUGCCCCGCGGCGGGGGCUCCGGACGCGCCGAGGUCAGGCCCAGGAGAGGAGCUGUGACGUGGGCACCCCUGCGAAGCCUGGGCUCCCUGGUGACCCUCUCUGAUCUCGCCCCCCGCCGUCUGUGCCAUGGUGUGGAUGGCGCUCCCCCAGGGCAGGUCUGCCCCAGGACGCCGCGCCGCGUCUGGACACGUUUCGGGUUGUCAUGACCGGGGUGCUCCUGGCGUCUGGUGGGUGCAGGCCUGGGGUGCCGCUCAACACCCACGCGCCCAGGGCGGCCCCACCACUGUCCUCUCGGGAAGAGGCGUCCUCGGCUCUGCUCUUGCUCCGGGGUCCCAUGUGCCGGCCUGUGGCCCCCCGGACUUCCCUCUGAACCCUUUGGAGAGGACGGAGGGAGAAAAGGCAGGUCUUAGUCCCGUGAAAAUGGUGUCGGCCCGCGGACCUCGCACCCUGGACCAGCUUGAGGACCAUGUGCGGCUGACUCGCGCCCUUCGUGGUGUACUGUCCACAUUGAUUUGCUGCUUUUUGGCUCCUUUUGUUGAAGAUGGGAGGGUCAGAUGUAAAGCAUUCAGUAUAAUUUUAUGGGGAGAAACGAGCUCAUGGAAAUCCAAUUUGUAAUAGAGUGGACUCUGGGCGGUAAGAGCCGUGCCCCCAGCCUCACUGAGGCCCGGUUGUGCGGGAUUCCCAAAAGACACUCUCAAGAAACCCCGAGAGGAGUUGCAGGCGAGCAGGGCUGAUGUGGGAGCCGGUCCCCAAGUCCCCUGGGAACUCGGGGUGAGGGGACUGUGUGUGUCUGUGUUGGGGACUUUACGGGUCCGUCGUGAGGGGGUGACUCUUACCUGUUGGGGGCCUGUGCAGAGAUGGGGCCGCUAUGAUUAUGGGGGCAUCUUGCUAUUUGACAAUUAACAGACUUUAUUUUUUAGGGCAGUUUUCAGCUUAUAGGAACAUAGGGCGGCAAGGACGGAGCGCUCACACCAUCUGUCCUGCAGCGUCCCUGUCAUCCGGCUCUCGUGUCCCUGUGUCACUGUGGUGUGUGGGUCACAGCUGAUGCACUGACAAUGAUGCUGUGAUGACUGAUGUCAGCGCUGUAUCCCGAUGGCUCGGUUUUCACCCGAGUCCGCUUUCUGUCCCAGGACCCAUGUGACAUUUGGUCCUCGUGUCUCUGUGCUCCUCUGGGAUGGGAUGGCAGCUCAGACUUCUGGUGAUGGCUCUGACUGUUCUGAGGCGUCCUGGCCGGGGGGUGCCCUCAGCGGGGGUCUGUCGGAUGGUCUCCUCAAGGUUGGGUGGGGAAAUGUGGCCGCUUCUUGGACUGUGACCUUUCUGUGGGUCCCGCUUCCUCCCCUGAGAUGGAGAGGGGCUGGUGGGAGACAGGGGUCCUUUCCGUCCUCCUUGAGGGGAGACAGGGGAGGGAGGGGACAAGUGCAUGAAGCGACAGCAGCCCCGGGCUAGGAGAGCAUGCAGUGUCAUGGAAACAAAGAUGAUAAGGCAGGGCUGAGGGAAAUGGGGCCUGACACCCUCAAGCACCUGGUGGGAGCACUUGGCAGGGGGCACCCGGUGGCAAGCCUCUCUGGGCUGGAGGGCUCGUCUCAGGGGGAGCAGAGGAUCUGCUUUGGCGAGGGGCUCUCCAGUCCCUGGUGGCUGGGCUCUGUGCAGGGAGCGUGCAUCCUCCUGGCCUCAGCCUGUCAAUCCUGGGGUCUGGCAGACACGCCCUGCCCGGCAGUCCUCCAGUCUCCCCGCCGGGCGUGCUCCUCGGGUAAGCUAAUGGGAGUAUGUGUCCAGGCUGCUGUCUCCCCAGAACCACCCUUUUGCUUUUCUGGGGGCUUCGCUCUGGCCGUGGGGGUUUCUCAGGGCCUUGAGGCACUGAUUACUGGCUUCACACCUCAGGAUCCACAUGAGGGUCGAGGACUCGGAUCCUGCAGAGGGUGGCUUAGGCCAGCCAUGUGGCUCUGCUCAGAGCGGGCUGCUGGUGUGAGUGACCGGCUCCCGCUGAGGGCCGGGCCCCUCGGGAGCGGGUGGGAGGGGAGAGGUGGGUGUGCGCGGACGAAGUGGUUGGCAGAUGCUCUGGGCCGAGCGGCUCCGGUUGGACGUGCUGGAGAUGUGAACCCUUGGUGCCCGCUCUGGGCCGUCCCCUUGGCCUCCCCAGCGCCGCAGUGGGCGCAGCCUGGAGCCCCAUGCCGUCUGUCCUCACCCACCCUGCUCCUGGCGCAAGGGGAGUGUGGAAGAACCUGUUUCCUCCCUAGAAAGAUUGCAUUUGCUUCCAGUCUCCGCCGACGUGUCUUUAGCUGAGUGACGCUGGAGGCUCUUGGCUUUUAACAGCUCUCCUUAACCAGGCUCUGCUUCCCGCAGUCCCUUGGACACGGGCUGAUGGACAGCACCACUCCCCCCACGCGGGGCCCAGCGGGAUGUGACAUAGCCAAGCCAGCUGCCUUUGACCAGAGCGUCUCUCAGCCCUUUCUGUGCACUCACAGCUUCUUCCAGCCCUGCCGCCCCUCUGCGCCCCCUCACCCCACGGCCUCCCCAGCUGCAGUUUCCCCCAGCAUUCAAAGCAGAAGCAGAACCGGUCCCGCUCCCCAGAAGUUGAACUGUGUGUUUCGUCUUCAGCAAAGCGCACCAAAUGCUGAGUUGCGCCUGUCUGGAUUGCUCCAGCUGUGGACGAAGCCAGGCCUCCCCGUCUCAGGAUCCACAUGCCUCCUUUCUUCCUCCCUGGUGGGGGCUGCAGGAGGUUUGCUGAGCACGACACAGGCCACCCCUCACGGCCCGGGUGCUCAGAGCUCUCCGUGUGGGAAUGGGGGUGGGAGUAGGUAGGAGAAAGGGAAGCGGGCGGCCCCUGCUGACCAUGCACCCACCAGCCUCUUGUGCCCUGGGAGCGGGCUCACAAAUGGUCUGGUGUCUUAGGGACGGGCCUGAUUGUGGAGCCACACUCCUGGGGUUCACACUGUGGUGUUGUCCCCUCCUGGCUGUGUAGUGUUAGCCUUUCUGUGCCCUGGUUUCCUCACUCGUGAACUGCAGUUAAUAGUCCCUCCCCCACAGGGUGUGGGAUGAGAUGAAUUAAUAUGUGGAAAGAGUUAAUGGUCAGUGUCAGCCCCAGAUGACGUUGAUGGUGGUGGUGAUGAUGAGGGUGAUGAUGGUGGUGAUCAUGACAAUGAUGCUGAUGGAGAUGAUAGUGGUGGUGAUGAUGAAGACUAUAGUGAUGAU